rnacentral:rRNA from 1 species
UACGUAGGGUGCGAGCGUUAUUCGGAAUUACUGGGCGUAAAGCGUGCGCAGGCGGUUUUGCAAGUCAGAUGUGAAAGCCCCGGGCUCAACCUGGGAAUGGCAUUUGGGACUGCAAGGCUUGAGUGCGGCAGAGGAGACUGGAAUUCCUGGUGUAGCAGUGAAAUGCGUAGAUAUCAGGAGGAAUACCGAUGGCGAAGGCAGGUCUCUGGGCUGACACUGACGCUGAUGCACGAAAGCGUGGGGAGCAAACAGG